UCUGACAGAGUUGCUGUCACUGGAACAGACCACAAAGCAGGAAAACCAUAUGCCAGGAUGUGCCAAGAGCUCAUGAUAGGCCAUUGACGGAUGUGCCUACAUAAACAAGCAAGGAAACGAGCCAACCGGCGUGCCAAUGAUUCAGCCUGUCGAAGGGAAUGGCCGCCACCAUGUCUAUAAGGAACCAGCCUUUGAAGUAGUGGAUGGCGAUCUUCCCCGGAUGGCUCACCACCUCCUCGUUCAAGUUCACGAAGGCAGCAGAAUAAGGGGUUAAAAUGGCUGUAUAAAUAACCAGCAGCAGGAUGAGCCAAUCCCACAUCGCUUUGAAUGGGCUGUAGUGCAGGAUGGUGAACUUAUCCAUGCGUGGCGUCUGGAGCUUGUAUUCUGGCAGCACAUCGGCGCCCAGAGACAAGACCUGGAACAGGAGAGGCAGACAAAACUUUUGUUCAUAGUUUUUGAAGACAUAACACACUAUCUGUUCAUGUUGACAUCUGUCAAAUACAGUUUGAGUGGACAUGUGAACUUUGACAUCAGUGACACAAGGCUCUCACACGUCCAGGCAGGUCGGAGAAGGCAAUGUGCGAAUCACUCAGAUGUGACAAGCCAAAAGUCCGCAGUGAACGAGUCAACUUCUGAAGUGAGGACUUAUGUCCUUUGGAUGGGCUGUCAUCGACUUCCUUCACGGCUGGCCAAAAGGCGGACGCAUUUACAACAAGACGUUUGGAGUUCGUACUCAGCCCUUCAAUGUCGUGAACGGAGGAGGCCCGUCUCCGGCUGCACAUGCUGUCUCUAGAGAUGGACUGGGCCAGGCAGGUGGUGGACUGUGCUUGGGAAGGACUGGGCCGAUCCCAGGGCUGCUUGGGCGACGAG